AAAAAUUAAAAAAAAAAAACAGAAACAGAUUCACAGACAUAGAAAACAAACAUGCUUAUCAAAGGGAAACGGGUCAGGAGAGGGAUAAAUUAGGAGUAUAGGAUUAAGACAUACACACCAUUAUACAUAAACUAGAUGAACAACAAGAAUUUAUCGUACACCACAGAGAACUACAUUCAGUAUCUUAUAGUAACAUGUAAUAGAAAUCUGAAAAAAAACAUAUAUGCAAAACUGGAUCACUUUGCUGUACAUCUGAAACUAACACAAUAUUGUAAAUCAACUGUAUUUCGAUUAAAAAAAAAAUACCACCAUCAUUCUAUAAGCCUGGGUCACUACCACUAUAUUUUAUGCUGGAUAUCUAUUUAUUUUCUAUACACAAAAAGGGAAGCUGACCAGCUCUAAAAGAUAUCCUUGGAGGGCUAAACUUAGAACAUUUCUUAACAGUUCUUGACCUCUUAACUGCUUCCUUCCUUGCCUGCCCCGUGCAUGAGAACAGUGGCCCAGGGAGGGAUGAAGUGGCUGUUGUAAUGGUCACGACUGCUCAUGAGGCCUGGCCCACAGCCAGGCUGUGGAUGGGAAUCGAAAGUCAACAAAGCAGGAGGCACAUGACAAGGCAAAAAGGCUCCUUCUCCCCUCUCUCUGCAUUUUACUCCAUCCCUUCCUUUGCCACUUCAGGUCCCCACAGCAAGCCCCCAGAUUUAGGUCCCCCACCACUCCGAUUUGCCUGUGGACAUUUAUCAGGAAGGAAAGGCAGCCUAGUUAGAAACAAGUGGUCCUUUGUACACAUCAGUCUGGAAGGGGCAGACGAAGGCUAAAAUGGGAGACUGGGGGGAAAGUACAUCUGGAAGAGGAAGACUAAAGGAAAAGAAAAUAUUACAAGAAUGUCAUUAAAUGUUUAAGGGGGACUCUGGCUGUUCAGGGAAUGAACAAUCACUGGGCAGGACUUUCUCAGCCUUGAUAACAGUAACAUAUAGCAGCACUCCUUAUGCCUGUCAAUAAAAUAUGCAAUCAAUAAGUCAAAGACAUAAAAUUCCUCGCUCAGUUAAUUCCUUGUUCUUUCUAUACUAUAACAUAGUCUACCCGGCUCUAAGACUGCUGGGCCACCUGAAUAAUAGCUCUUAUAAACCUGAGGUCAUGUGAGGAUCAGAGUCAGGAAACCAGGAAGUACAGAACCAGCCUUUUUUUCUUUCUUAAAGAGGUUUAUCUCUUACCAGAGAAUAGAGUCCAACUGGGGAGCAUAAGGAUAGACCAAUACUCAAAACUAAUUAGAAGUAGGAGGAAGUUGUAUUUCUGUACUUACUACCUAUAAAUACAAAGUCAGGGCUUGCCAAAUAGUUUCUGUGAAAAUAAAGGUUUUUAAGUAUCAAAUCUGUUGAUUUGUCCCAGUCAUCUCAGUAUGUCGUCACUCAAACCAAGAAAAUACCAGUGUAAAGAGCAGCUGCGUCAAAGUGACUGAGAGCUUUUAGUCUGUAAUGAAGCUUCCCUAUUUUCCUCAAAGUCUGUUUCGGUCUAUUAUUAANNNNNNNNNNNNNNNNNNNNNNNAAUCUAACCUCUCAUUAUUAGAAGAAAAUUGAAGCAUAGGUGAGAUCUAACCUUACUAGGCCACAUCAGCUCAGCUCACUGUGCCUAGGUCAGUGCCUAUCAUAGUGAAGCUGCUCCUUAAAUGUUGGCUAAAUGAGUAAAUGAAAGGGUGGCUUUCUGAAACAACACUCAGCUGUCACAGGCUGGAUAUUUGGUUGAAUAUGUCUCCAAUGUUUUCAUUCUCCAUGAGACUUUAGAUAAACCUUUCCAUGGCACUUUAUUACUUAUAUCCCACCUGGGCUUCCCUGGUGGCUCAGACAGAAAACAAUUUGCCUGCAAUGCAAUGCAGGAGACCCUGGGUUUGAACCGUAGGUUGGGAAGAUUCCCUGGAGAAUGGAAUGGCCACCCACUCCAGUAUUCUUGCCUGGAGAAUUCCAUGGCCAGAGGAGCCUGANNNNNNNNNNNNNNNNNNNNNNNNNNNNNNNNNNNNNNNNNNNNNNNNNNNNNNNNNNNNNNNNNNNNNNNNNNNNNNNNNNNNNNNNNNNNNNNNNNNACUCCAGUAUUCUUGCCUGGAGAAUUCCAUGGCCAGAGGAGCCUGAUGGGCUACGGUCUGUGGGGUCACAAAGGGUAAGACAUGACUGAGCAACUAACACUUACUACUUUUGUCCUGCUUUCAUAGAUAACUAUCCUAAAAGUUCCAAAUUAAAAAAUAAAGGUUCAAUGUAGCAAAAUGUUUCCCAAGGGCUACAAACUCAGUAAAUAUCAGAGAAUAGCUCCCUCAGUUAGCCCACUAGAUGUGCUGUUUCCAUGUCAAACAUUUGAAUCAUAGGUCACAAGAAAGGGAAUCCCUGAAAAUUUAGCUCAGAAGGGACCAUUGUUUCUGAAGAAGAGGUCGUGGCCACACAAGGAACCUUCGUGAGACACGAUGCCACUAACGUAGCAGGAUGCACAAACUAAAUGUCACUGUGUGAAGGGGAAGCCAUCCUGACUGGUUAAUAGGUCAGACCCAGACAUUUCUAGCCCAGUGAUGAGCUGGAAAUUUCACAAUUACAAGAUUAGAAAGGCAAUAGAAAUGAAAGAUGAUGAACAGGAAUGAACCCAAAGUUCUACUAGACCUGGAGAAAAAGAAAGAAGUCAGGAGGAAAUUAGACCCUAUGUGAGGCAGAGACAAAGACAGGUUUCCUGCUUGAGAGAAGAACCUUGGUUAAGCUCUACCACCAUGAAAAGGAGGCUGAACAAAGCUGCUAAGGGUGACUAUAGCUAAUGGAAAACAUGUACCCACAGGGGCAGGAGCACACGAGUGCAGCCUCACGACCCAAGCUGCAUACUGGCCCCCAGGGAAGGCAUCCAAGCUGCCAGACCUGGCUCUGUACUGGAAGUCUUGAGUUGCAGAGCAGAGGCCACUGCCCAACUCAUACUGAGUGGCACAGAGAGGCCAAGGGAAGCAGGCAAUCCACACUCCAGAACUCCACAGAAGUUUAAUGCUAAGAAAGACAACAAAACUGAUAAUCAGUCCAUGACUUCUCUCCAAACAAAAAAUAGGAAAGUGUUCAAAAACUUUAAAAUAAAGAGUAUUUGCAAUCCUCUGAGAGAGAAAUGUGAUGUUUCUAAGAACAAGAAAUUUGAAACAAAGGAAGAAAAGAAAAGAUAGGCAUGAAAAAGAAUUAUUUGAAAAUAAAAAAUUAAUGUUUAAAACGCAAUAGAAAGAACACAUUCUAUACAGAACACAGACAACAUUACUGAAGAUAUUAUGCAGGAAUUAAAAAAUAAUGUAACAAUGAAAAGAAUUGAAAAAAGAAUGCAGAUAUAGUAGAUACAUACACAUACAAACGUAUAAGUGAGUCACUUUGCUGUACACCUGAAACUAACGUAACUGAUUGCAAAUCAAUUAUACUUCAAUUAAAAAAUUAAACAAAAACAUAAUGUGAUACAAAAUCUGAAAGAGUGGUUAAGAAGUAUGCAAGGUAAAUCAAAAGAUUCUGAAAUGUGCCUAGCAGGAGUUUCAGAAGAUUAUCCAGGGAAUGAUGAGGAAGGUAUAUUCACCAAGGUCAAGCUAAUAAUUACCCCAAACCGAAGAGUCACAAAAACUGAGGACACUGCAAGUUCCCAGCAAGAAAAAUUUAGAAAUGAAUCCAAGCCUAAUGAGACUGUGGUGAAACUGUAGAUCAGGAAAGACAAAGAACUCCUUAAAAGCAACCAGGAAAAAGAUGAAUAAUUGACCAAAAUUGAAAUACUGGGUUUUGAAAAGAUCCUCAAAUAGGAAAUCCUCUAGAGAGAAUUACCAAGGGGAAAAAAAGACAUAAAAAGUAGUACAAAUGAAAAUGGGGACAUAAGCACA
rnacentral:lncRNA from 1 species